rnacentral:rRNA from 1 species
CCAGACUCCUACGGGAGGCAGCAGUGCGGAAUAUUGGUCACUGGGCGGGAGCCUUCCCCAGCCAAUUCGCUUGAGGGAUGACGGCCCUAUGGGUUUUCCCCCUCUUUUGCCUUUGAGCAAAGUGCCGCACGUGUGCUUUUUUGAGAGUACCCUUCUAAAAAGCCUCUUCUAACUCCGUUCCCUCAGCCGCGUUCCUCCGGAGGAUUCGCUCUUUAUCCGGAUUUAUUGGGUUUAAAGGGUGCGUAGGCGGACGCUUAAGUCGGGGGUAAAAUUGCGGGGCUCAACCUCGUCGAGCCGUUGAAACUGGGUGCCUUGAGUGGGCGAGAAGGACGCGGAAUGCGUGGUGUAGCGGUGAAAUGCAUAGAGAGAAAGCAGAACGCCGAUGGCGAAGGCAGCGUACCGGCGCCCAACUGACGCUGAAGCACGAAGGCGUGGGGAGCGAACAGGAUUAGAUACCCCCGUA